rnacentral:lncRNA from 10 species
UGUUCUGUGACAAACAGCUGUUAUUUGCAAAAAGGACUCCCUGGGUUGAGGGAGACCAGAGCUCCACUUAGCAAGGCCACUCAGGAAACAGAUGGACCAACUUGAGUUCUUUUUCUGUGUGAGUUCUCUUUAUUCCAAGAUUAUGUUCUUUCUAUUUCAGGAGGUGUUAUAAUGUCUUUUUUUAGUAGUAGGUGGUAUUAGCUAUUGUUGUUUAACACCCUAUGUCAGGGGGUAAUGAGUGUUAUGGGGAAGAAUAAAGCAGUGGGAGCUGGGAAGCAAUGGGAGGAUGUCAAUCUUAGGGACAUGAGAAGGCACCCUCAUGCAGAGACUUGGGCAACGUGAAGGAUCGCCACUGUG